CUAAAACUUUUUAAUAAACUUUCACUCCUCCUCCAAAACUUGUCUGGGUCUCUCACUCUGCCUUAUGCCCCUCGGUCAAAUUCUUUCUUCAGAGGAGGCAAGAAUUGAAGGUUGCUGCGGACCUGUUUGGACUCGCCACCACUAACAAUAUCCUUUUGAACAAUCAUAUUUCUACAGCUCUACUGAAAGAAACCCUUACCCUAGCUGCAAACCUGGACAGAUUCUUGAACACAAUUUCUUGGCGCUUCCUCUGAAAUCCCCCUAGAAGCAAGAGCUUCUGCUGAGCGACUCCAUGGUGACUGGAACAUGAAAAAACAUGCUGGGCCCGAGCGCGGUGGCUCGUGCUUAUAAUCCCAGCACUUUGGGAGGCGGAGGCAGGUGGAUCAUGAGGUCAGGAGUUCGAGACCAGCCUGGACAAUAAGGCAAAACCCCAUCUCUACUAAAAAUACAAAAAUUAGCCGGGCAUGGUGGUACACGCCUGUAGUCCCAGCUACUUGGGAAGCUGAGGCAGAAGAAUCACUUGAACCCAGGAGACGGAGGUUGCAGUGAGCCCAGAUCCCACCACUGCACUCCAGCCUGGGCAACAGAGUGAGACUCCAUCUUGUAAAAAAAAAGAAAAGAAAAAACAUUCUUACAGAUUGUCUUUGUGAUAGCCAAACCCAUUCCAGACUAGUCAAUGGUUUUGCCAUCACUUUCGUGCAAAUAUUUUCUAAAUAUCUUUGCAUAUAGUAUGAUGUAUUAUAAAGACAAUCCUCUGGAACUAUUGUGUAUGUUCACCAUAAAAGGUACUCCUUAUGCACAUAUUUCUCACACUGACUGCAUACAAAUGACUUGAAUUUAUAGAAGGAUUUUUCUUCUUGUAGCCAUUCAUACCCAGCUCACAGCCCAAGCCAAUGUGCGUCCUCCAAAUGCAAUCAGAUGAUGUGACCAGCCUUGAAACGCUCAUCAGACAUGUUUUCUAACAUAUAUUCUUGGUCCAGUCUAAACUUGGAUAUUUGGAAACAGACUACUUAGAACACCAGCAUUUGAUAUUGUGUUCAAAGAUUGCAGAAAAACAUGUAGUUAUAAUCACUCUAGUACUCUCCCUGAUUAUAUAAUUAGGGGUGUAGUUUUAGUCUUAAAAGAGUACCAAAUAGACUUUGAGUCAGUAAAAAGAACAACUUUUACUGAGAGUAGAAGAGCAUCUUUGCCAUCAAAUAUGAGCUUUUGCAGUCAAUUUAGCCCCUUCUCUAAUUGACACUGUUCAUAAAAGACAUUUAAAACCAUUUCAUGUAUUGUUAAUAUGCACAGUUUCAACACCAUUACAUAACCCAUCAAUGUGAAGAUCAGAGGUUUAUAAUCACUGAAAUUGAUUAGUCCAAUCCUCAAAACAAAUAGCUUACUAUUCUGUAAAAUUUUUUCCCUGGUGCAAGUGGAAGUAGUAUUGUAAAAUGUCUUUGAAAUCCAACAGGAAUACAGAUUUCUCCUGUAGGACACAGUUUUGCAAAAAUUGCUUUAAUCAUUAAGUAAAGUUAAGCUUGAUGAAAAAUCUUUCUACUACACGUCUUUGAGUCCCAACAACAGAAGCACAGAUGAUGGCUGUGUGAACUUCUAUCAGUUUGCUUCAAAAUUAAAGAAAAUCUUCUUAGCAUACAAAUCCCAACAAGUAGCCUAGCACCACUUUUCAUUUAUUACCAAUGCAACCAAUUUAAACAGAACUUAUUCAGUUUAUAAGAUGGAUAUCUUGUCAACUGCUAAUCAUAAUAUAAACAAUGAAUUUGUACUGCAUAUUAUCUGUGCAUUUUUUCUCUUCAAAUAAGAUUGCAACCUUAACAGAAAAUGUGGAACAAACCAGCUUCCGCAACAUAGUUCUUUCUUUAACAAUAACAACAAUAAAACUAUGCUAAAACUACACUGAAGCUACACUACAAUAAACUGCAAAAAAUCAAAAGAUCCAAGCACUAACACUGAGUCACAUUGUACUCUGGCACCUGUAAUAAGAUUACCUCCUUGUGACCUGCUCAAAUUCUGGACCCAAAGAAAGUUUUCAGAAAGUUUUUCCAAAAUCCUCUGUCUGUCACCCAUAAAGCUUCAUUCAGGUACUAAAUGAUAGGUAAGUUUAGUAGUGUAGUCCUAGCUACAUGAAAGGCCAGGGCAGGAGGAUUGCAUGAACCCAGGAGUUCAAGGUUAUAGUGAGCUAUGAUUGCACCACUGCACUCCAUCCUGGCAAGAGAGCGAGAUCCUGUCUCUAAAUAAAUAAAUAACAGAUAAAUGAUUUACAAAUUUUUUAUCAAGCACUCUUUAGAAAAACUUCAGC
rnacentral:lncRNA from 1 species